rnacentral:rRNA from 1 species
AGAGUUUGAUCAUGGCUCAGAUUGAACGCUGGCGGCAGGCCUAACACAUGCAAGUCGAACGGUAACAGGAAGAAGCUUGCUUCUUUGCUGACGAGUGGCGGACGGGUGAGUAAUGUCUGGGAAACUGCCUGAUGGAGGGGGAUAACUACUGGAAACGGUAGCUAAUACCGCAUAACGUCGCAAGACCAAAGAGGGGGACCUUCGGGCCUCUUGCCAUCGGAUGUGCCCAGAUGGGAUUAGCUAGUAGGUGGGGUAACGGCUCACCUAGGCGACGAUCCCUAGCUGGUCUGAGAGGAUGACCAGCCACACUGGAACUGAGACACGGUCCAGACUCCUACGGGAGGCAGCAGUGGGGAAUAUUGCACAAUGGGCGCAAGCCUGAUGCAGCCAUGCCGCGUGUAUGAAGAAGGCCUUCGGGUUGUAAAGUACUUUCAGCGGGGAGGAAGGGAGUAAAGUUAAUACCUUUGCUCAUUGACGUUACCCGCAGAAGAAGCACCGGCUAACUCCGUGCCAGCAGCCGCGGUAAUACGGAGGGUGCAAGCGUUAAUCGGAAUUACUGGGCGUAAAGCGCACGCAGGCGGUUUGUUAAGUCAGAUGUGAAAUCCCCGGGCUCAACCUGGGAACUGCAUCUGAUACUGGCAAGCUUGAGUCUCGUAGAGGGGGGUAGAAUUCCAGGUGUAGCGGUGAAAUGCGUAGAGAUCUGGAGGAAUACCGGUGGCGAAGGCGGCCCCCUGGACGAAGACUGACGCUCAGGUGCGAAAGCGUGGGGAGCAAACAGGAUUAGAUACCCUGGUAGUCCACGCCGUAAACGAUGUCGACUUGGAGGUUGUGCCCUUGAGGCGUGGCUUCCGGAGCUAACGCGUUAAGUCGACCGCCUGGGGAGUACGGCCGCAAGGUUAAAACUCAAAUGAAUUGACGGGGGCCCGCACAAGCGGUGGAGCAUGUGGUUUAAUUCGAUGCAACGCGAAGAACCUUACCUGGUCUUGACAUCCACAGAACUUUCCAGAGAUGGAUUGGUGCCUUCGGGAACUGUGAGACAGGUGCUGCAUGGCUGUCGUCAGCUCGUGUUGUGAAAUGUUGGGUUAAGUCCCGCAACGAGCGCAACCCUUAUCUUUUGUUGCCAGCGGUCCGGCCGGGAACUCAAAGGAGACUGCCAGUGAUAAACUGGAGGAAGGUGGGGAUGACGUCAAGUCAUCAUGGCCCCUUACGACCAGGGCUACACACGUGCUACAAUGGCGCAUACAAAGAGAAGCGACCUCGCGAGAGCAAGCGGACCUCAUAAAGUGCGUCGUAGUCCGGAUUGGAGUCUGCAACUCGACUCCAUGAAGUCGGAAUCGCUAGUAAUCGUGGAUCAGAAUGCCACGGUGAAUACGUUCCCGGGCCUUGUACACACCGCCCGUCACACCAUGGGAGUGGGUUGCAAAAGAAGUAGGUAGCUUAACCUUCGGGAGGGCGCUUACCACUUUGUGAUUCAUGACUGGGGUGAAGUCGUAACAAGGUAACCGUAGGGGAACCUGCGGUUG